rnacentral:piRNA from 1 species
UGUCUACUUUAAACAGGUUAUUUGGCUGUC